rnacentral:rRNA from 1 species
GAUGAACGCUGGCGGCGUGCCUAAUACAUGCAAGUCGAGCGAACGGACGAGAAGCUUGCUUUUCUGAUGUUAGCGGCGGACGGGUGAGUAACACGUGGAUAACCUACCUAUAAGACUGGGAUAACUUCGGGAAACCGGAGCUAAUACCGGAUAAUAUUUUGAACCGCAUGGUUCAAAAGUGAAAGACGGUCUUGCUGUCACUUAUAGAUGGAUCCGCGCUGCAUUAGCUAGUUGGUAAGGUAACGGCUUACCAAGGCAACGAUGCAUAGCCGACCUGAGAGGGUGAUCAGCCACACUGGAACUGAGACACGGUCCAGACUCCUACGGGAGGCAGCAGUGGGGAAUCUUCCGCAAUGGGCGAAAGCCUGACGGAGCAACGCCGCGUGAGUGAUGAAGGUCUUCGGAUCGUAAAGCUCUGUUAUUAGGGAAGAACAUAUGUGUAAGUAACUGUGCACAUCUUGACGGUACCUACACAGAAAGCCACGGCUAACUACGUG